rnacentral:rRNA from 1 species
GAUGAACGCUGGCGGCGUGCCUAAUACAUGCAAGUCGAGCGAACGGACGAGAAGCUUGCUUCUCUGAUGUUAGCGGCGGACGGGUGAGUAACACGUGGAUAACCUACCUAUAAGACUGGGAUAACUUCGGGAAACCGUAGCUAAUACCGGAUAAUAUUUUGAACCGCAUGGUUCAAAAGUGAAAGACGGUCUUGCUGUCACUAAUAGAUGGAUCCGCGCUGCAUUAGCUAGUUGGUAAGGUAACGGCUUACCAAGGCAACGAUGCAUAGCCGACCUGAGAGGGUGAUCGGCCACACUGGAACUGAGACACGGUCCAUACUCCUACGGGAGGCAGCAGUAGGGAAUCUUCCGCAAUGGGCGAAAGCCUGACGGAGCAACGCCGCGUGAGUGAUGAAGGUCUUCGGAUCGUAAAACUCUGUUAUUAGGGAAGAACAUAUGUGUAAGUAACUGUGCACAUCUUGACGGUACCUAAUCAGAGAGCCACGGCUAACUACGUG